UAGAGGGUCAUUUAAAUGAAAAGAUAAAGAUUUUUGAUAUCUUAAAUAAAGGUUAAAAUCCUUUCCUUCUAA
rnacentral:tRNA from 1 species